CUACGUGCCAGCAGCCGCGGUAAUACGUAUGUCACAAGCGUUAUCCGGAUUUAUUGGGCGUAAAGCGCGUCUAGGUGGUCAUGUAAGUCUGAUGUGAAAAUGCAGGGCUCAACUCUGUAUUGCGUUGGAAACUGCAUGACUAGAGUACUGGAGAGGUAAGCGGAACUACAAGUGUAGAGGUGAAAUUCGUAGAUAUUUGUAGGAAUGCCGAUGGGGAAGCCAGCUUACUGGACAGAUACUGACGCUAAAGCGCGAAAGCGUGGGUAGCAAACAGGAUUAGAUACCCUGGUAGUCCACGCCGUAAACGAUGAUUACUAGGUGUUGGGGGUCGAACCUCAGCGCCCAAGCUAACGCGAUAAGUAAUCCGCCUGGGGAGUACGUACGCAAGUAUGAAACUCAAAGGAAUUGACGGGGACCCGCACAAGCGGUGGAGCAUGUGGUUUAAUUCGACGCAACGCGAGGAACCUUACCAGCGUUUGACA
rnacentral:rRNA from 1 species